rnacentral:rRNA from 1 species
AACGAACGCUAGCGGCAUGCCUAACACAUGCAAGUCGAACGAGACCUUCGGGUCUAGUGGCGCACGGGUGCGUAACGCGUGGGAACCUGCCCUUAGGUUCGGAAUAACUCCCCGAAAGGGGUGCUAAUACCGGAUAAUGUCUUCGGACCAAAGAUUUAUCGCCUUUGGAUGGGCCCGCGUUGGAUUAGCUAGUUGGUGGGGUAAAAGCCUACCAAGGCGACGAUCCAUAGCUGGUCUGAGAGGAUGAUCAGCCACACUGGGACUGAGACACGGCCCAGACUCCUACGGGAGGCAGCAGUGGGGAAUAUUGGACAAUGGGCGAAAGCCUGAUCCAGCAAUGCCGCGUGAGUGAUGAAGGCCUUAGGGUUGUAAAGCUCUUUUACCCGGGAUGAUAAUGACAGUACCGGGAGAAUAAGCUCCGGCUAACUCCGUG